rnacentral:lncRNA from 1 species
CAGAAUAAAGUAAAAAGAAAGAAAUUUUCUCAUAUUAUAUGAGCAGAAAAUAAAAACCACUGAUCUAGUAUACAUAUGAAUAGCGAAAAGGAUCAAGACUGUGGAUUGGAAGCUCAGACAGCCAAGCUGAUCACGUUUAGCAGCUCAGGUAGUCCAACCAAGCUGAUCCUAUCACAAUAUCAUGUGUGUCGUAGGAACUAUUAGCACACUCCUUUUCUGAUCCUUCAAAAUGGAUAACAUAGAAACACAAACGUGACAACAGUCGGUGAGAAUCUCACUCUCAAAAGCUGAUUUUAAAAAGCAACAAUGUAGUACACAAGGCAUGGCAUGAGUACUGUUUACCAGGGUAAGCAAAUUCUCCCAGUAAAACAACGAAAUAGAAAGAACAAAAGAAUUGAACUUAGCAGCAACACUUACCCGUGUCGCCAGCUGCGGUAAGCCAGCUGCAGUGAGCAGCACCCGCUUCGCGUAGGCGUCUCCCAUCCCCUCGCCACCUUCGCGUUGUGGUGCUUUGGCUUGUCGAGCGCCUAGAACUGCAGCUGAUCGUCACUGCAAUGGGCAAAAUGCGCCUUGAAGCAAACCCAGUGAUGAGGCCGGAUCUUGGGCCUUGUUUGGCAUCAAGUGGCUAAUAGCCUAGGGAAGGAAAGCCCCGACAUGGAUUUAAUUGGCUUUUCAAUUCCACUUUGUUUCCCAGGACAGUUUUUCCCUUCCCCUGCUGUUUGGAAGCAGGUGUCCAGACGUUUCCCUGCUGUUGUUAGCCCAGGGAGUACCGCUCGGUAUGGGGAUACAAUCGCUGCAUGCAAACUGAGCUGAUGCAGACACGCCACCAAUUUUCAAUCUCUGCAUGCAAACUGAAUUGAUCCAAUAUUUGUAUCUAAACUGCUCAGUUCAGCUUAGUUCAAUUUGUAUAUGAUUCAAAACUGGUGAUACUUGAAAAAAGCAAGAUACAUCUAUCAGCUUAACAUGCAGAGUACUAACUGGUCAUUGUAAUAUUGCAUAGUCUUGAAGAGGAUGUUCUUAAAAUUAAACAAACCAAAAAACAAUGAGCUAUCUAUUGUCUCACAAUAAAGUAAAAUGAACA